UUUAGAACACAUUACUUCGUGUUUGCCGCCCCAUUUCAGAAAACCUAACCGUUAAGAGAGAGGAGAGAGAAGAUAAAGGUUGACUGCUAAUGGUGAUUUCUCCGUCAAAUCAGCAUAUUGGCUGGGGGUUUUAGGAGGUAGUUCCACUUAUACUGCAAUAAAUGAUGUUUUGUGGAAGCGCAUAUAUGGCGGAUAGAUGGACCCCCAAAAUUCCAACACUUCUUAUGGAGAAUUUGUUCGAUGGCUGUUGCUGUGAAUGCUGAGCUAUUCAGACGCCAUCUUCGUACUAAUGACCUAUGCAAGAGGUGUGGACUGAUGGCUGAAACAAUAAAGCACACCAUUUUUGAAUGCCCCUAGGCCAAGCUCAUUUGGGAAAAAAACUCUUUCUGGGAGUUGCUGCAGUAGCAAACACCGGAUGACAUCAAGGAUAGAUGCCUUUAUGUUUUGGGCUGAUAAAUUACAAAGGCAUGAACUCUGCACCUUCACCUCCUUGAUGUGGGCAGCCUGGACUCACAAAAACCAGGUUCUUUAUCAAUAGAGCACUACCGAUCCUAUCUUUCUUGCAGGGAAGUUUGUGAAGUAUGUGGAAGAUUAUAAGGUGUACGCAGGCUAAGUGUAUGGAACAAGACCCAAAUCCUGUGAUAUUACUGCUGGAAAGUGGGAAAUACCAAGGGUAGGAGUAGUGAAAUUAAAUGUGGAUGCAGCCAUCUUCCACAACAAUUUGAUGGGCAUGGGUGCUGUUGCUAGAGAUAGCAAUGGGCAGAUCAGGUUUUCUGCUGUGAAGGAAGUUCAGGGAGCCUGGAACCCCACGGUAAUUGAAUCUGUUGCUAUGGAGAAUGGUCUGGUCGUGGCAAGAAGAUUCAGGUAUAAUCGGGUUUGGGUGGAGAGUGAUGCUUUGGGAGUGGUCCAAAAAGUGAAAAACCGGCACAGUGGUUACAAGUAUCUAUUUAAAUUCAUUGAUCGAAUUGUUAAUCUCGGGAAUGAUUUUGAUUACUUUCAUUGUAGUCAUAUUAAAAGGGGGGGCAAUACUUUAGCUCACCUAGUAGUUAGAUCUUGUCUGGAGGAGUUAGUUGAACCUGCUCGUUUUGACCCUUUUCCGGCUAGCUUUCAAACUCUGGCGGAAAUGGAUUUGAUUUAAUAAUAUUGCCACCCGUUUGUUUAAAGAGAGAGGAAAGAGAAGACGAAGCACAACCCACUCGUCUUUGGCUUUUUCGUCUCAAGGCUCACUUCGCAGCGUCGUCGAGUGCUCCACUCUUCGUCUCAGUCCGAUCAAUGCCCGUGCACAAAGACGACGAAGUCCAGGUUGUUCGUGGUACCUCAUGGUCCGAAAUGCUUCUUGGGAGCUCGGAAUUAAGAUCUGAUAUCUUGCAUUGUUGGUUAUUGAUGAGUUAUUUAUGCGUUCGAAGCUAUUUAAGACCCUAAUUACUGAGCCAACUCGUGGGUCAGUGAGCCGAAUCGAUUGGUUGAGUCAGGUUUCCGACGUCUUGGGUUGUCAAUGGGGUGAUGAGGGUAAAAGGAAGCUUGUUGAUAUUUUUGCGCAGCAUUUUGAUGUAGAUUUUGAUGCCGUAAGGUAAAUCCACAUAUGCACCUGCUGAAGCUUUGUGACUUUGGAAGCACAAAAGUUUUGAUAAAAGGUGAGCCUAUUGUAUCUUAUAUCUGCUCUAGUUACUAUAGAGAACCAGAGCUAAUAUCCGGAGCAACUGAAUAAACUACAACUAUUAACGUCUAGCCUGCUGGCUGUGUGUUUGCAGAACUGCUUCUUUGACAGGGAAUUUUUCAAACUCAUCUUAGAGCCCUAUUGUGGUUC